GACGAACGCUGGCGGCGUGCUUAACACAUGCAAGUCGAACGGAAAGGCCCCUUUGGGGGUCCUCGCGUGGCUAACGGGUGAGUAACACGUGAGUAACCUGCCCUUGACUUCGGGAUAACUUCAUGCAACUGGGUCUAAUACCUGCUAGGAAUCCUUGCUGCAUGGUUGGGGUUGGAAAGCUUCGGCGGUUUUGGAUGGACUCGCGGCUUAUCAGCUUGUUGGUGGGGUAGUGGCUUACCAAGGCUUUGACGGGUAGCCGGCCUGAGAGGGCGAACGGCCAAAAUGGGACUGAGAUACGGCCCAGACUCCUACGGGAGGCAGCAGGGGGGAAUAUUGCACAAUGGGCGGAAGCCUGAUGCAGCAAAGCCGCGGGCGGGAUGACGGCCUUCGGGGUGUAAAACGCUUUCAGCAGGGGAGAAGCUUGUGGUGACGGUACCUGCAGAAGAAGCACCGGCUAACUACGUG
rnacentral:rRNA from 1 species